GCGUGGAUUAGGCAUGCAAGUCGAGCGGGAUCCAUGGAAUUCAAUUCUUCGGAAAAGAUUUCUGUGGUGAGAGCGGCGAACGGGUGAGUAAUGCGCAGACAACUUGCCCUCGGGUUAGGGAUAGCCCCCCGAAAGGGGGAUUAAUACCGGAUAUGGUCGCCUCGCGCAUGCGGGGUUAUCCAAAGGUGCCUGUUUACAGGUGUCGCCCGAGGAUGGGUUUGCGUUCUAUCAGCUUGUUGGCGGGGUAACGGCCCACCAAGGCAAUGACGGAUAGCUGGUCUGAGAGGAUGGUCAGCCACACUGGGACUGAGACACUGCCCAGACUCCUACGGGAGGCUGCAGUCGAGAAUCAUUCGCAAUGCGCGCAAGCGUGACGAUGCGACGCCGCGUGGAGGAUGAAGGCCUUCGGGUUGUAAACUCCUGUCAUGAGGGAACAAAGCUUGCGGGUUAAUACCCCGUGAGUGUGAUGGUACCUCAAGAGGAAGUCACGGCUAACUCUGUGCCAGCAGCCGCGGUAAUACAGAGGUGGCAAGCGUUGUCCGGAUUUACUGGGCGUAAAGGGUGCGCAGGCGGUUCGGUAUGUCGGAUGUGAAAUCUCACGGCUCAACCGUGAAAGGUCAUUCGAAACUGCCGGACUAGAGUACUGGAGAGGAGAGCGGAAUUCUUGGAGUAAGCGGUGAAAUGCGUAGAUAUCANGAAGAACACCGGUGGCGAAGGCGGCUCUCCUUGGACAGUUACUGACGCUGAGGCACGAAAGCCAGGGUAGCGAAGAAGGAUUAGAUACCCUCGUUAGUCCAGGCCCGUAAACGAAUGUGCACUUCGACUUUGGGGAGGAAUGAUCCACUCUCUGUACCGGAGCUAACGGCGUUAAGUGACACCCGCCUGGGGAGUACGACCGCAAGGCUGAAACUCCAAGGAAUUAACGGGGGCCCGCACAAGCGGUGGAGCAAGUGGCUGAAUUCGAUGCAACGCGAAGAACCUCACCAGGGUUUGACAAGACCGUCGUAGUCUCCUGAAAGGGAGAAGUCAGCUCGGCUGGACGGUGCACAGGUACUGCAUGGCUGUCGUCAGCUCGUGCCGUGAGGUGUUGGGUUAAGUCCAGCAACGAGCGCAACCCUUGUCUUUAGGUGCCACUCCCGAUCCUUGAUUGGGAAGCGCUAUAAGAUCAGAGCUGCCCGUGACAAGCACGAGCAAGAAGAAGGAUGACGACAACGUCAAACGAGCACGGACACCAGAGCCAGCACACCACACUGCAAUGUAAUGCGACAUAACAUAGGGACGAAACGAGGCAGCGCGAAUAAACGCCAGCAGGUCAUCGUUCGGAGAUCACUCUGCAAUUCGACUGCGUGAAGUCGGAAUCGCUAGUAAAUGCGUAUCAGCAAUGGCGCAUAGAAUACGUUCCCGGGCCUAGUACACACCGCCCGUCACAUCAUGAAAGCCGAAUGCACCCGAAGUCACUGGGCCAAUCCUUUUUGGAAGGCAGGUGCCGAAGGUGUGAGCGGUGAUUGGGAUG
rnacentral:rRNA from 1 species